rnacentral:rRNA from 1 species
UACGAAGGGGGCUAGCGUUGUUCGGAAUUACUGGGCGUAAAGCGCGCGUAGGCGGCUUUGUAAGUUAGAGGUGAAAGCCCGGGGCUCAACCCCGGAACUGCCUUUAAAACUGCAUCGCUUGAAUCCGGGAGAGGUGAGUGGAAUUCCGAGUGUAGAGGUGAAAUUCGUAGAUAUUCGGAAGAACACCAGUGGCGAAGGCGGCUCACUGGACCGGCAUUGACGCUGAGGUGCGAAAGCGUGGGGAGCAAACAGG